rnacentral:lncRNA from 1 species
UCAUUAUCUCCAUAAGCUGAAAUAUUGGGUCUUGGUUCAAAAUCCUCAAGGGUUUCCUUCUUUUCCUUAAAAUCAAUUUCAUUGUCUCCAUAAGCUGAAAGGUUGGGUCUUGGUUCAAAAUCCUCAAGGGCUUCCUUUUUUUCCUUAACAUCAAUGUCGUUGUUAUCAUAAGCUGAAAUAUUGGGUCUUGGUUCAAAAUCUUUAACGGAUUCCUUCUUUUCACUAGAAUCAAUUUCAUUGUCUCCAUAAGCUGAAAGGUUGGGUCUUGGUUCAAAAUCCUCAAGGGCUUCCUUUUUUUCCUUAACAUCAAUGUCGUUGUUAUCAUAAGCUGAAAUAUUGGGUCUUGGUUCAAAAUCUUUAACGGAUUCCUUCUUUUCACUAGAAUCAAUUUCAUUGUCUCCAUAAGCUGAAAGGUUGGGUCUUGGUUCAAAAUCCUCAAGGGCUUCCUUUUUUUCCUUAACAUCAAUGUCGUUGUUAUCAUAAGCUGAAAUAUUGGGUCUUGGUUCAAAAUCUUUAACGGAUUCCUUCUUUUCACUAGAAUCAAUUUCAUUGUCUCCAUAAGCUGAAAUGUUGGG